UACGUAGGUGGCAAGCGUUGUCCGGAUUUACUGGGCGUAAAGAGCGCGCAGGCGGUCGUGCAAGUCGCGUGUGAAAGCCCCCGGCUCAACUGGGGAGGGUCACGCGAUACUGCUCGACUUGAAGGCAGGAGAGGGAAGUGGAAUUCUCGGUGUAGCGGUGAAAUGCGUAGAUAUCGAGAGGAACACCUGCGGCGAAGGCGGGUUGCUGGGCUGACACUGACGCUGAGGCGCGAAAGCUAGGGGAGCGAACGGG
rnacentral:rRNA from 1 species